GCCGGGCGUGGUGGCGAGCGCCUGUAAUCCCAGCUACUUGGGAGGCUGAGGCAGGAGAAUUGCUUGAACCCGGGAGGCGGAGGUUGCAGUGAGUCAAGAUUGCGCCACUGGACUCCAGCCUGGGUGACAGAGUGAGACUCUGUCUAAA
rnacentral:SRP_RNA from 2 species